ensembl:lncRNA
GUCAGAUAUAAACCGAGUUUAGGUGUAGUUUAUUUAGCAGCAGUUCUCUUAUGUGUUGCUGAUAGCCGGCUAGCUAGCUAGCGCCGCUAGCAUAGUUAGCUCGCGCCGCUAGCAACCCUUCGUGAAAAAGCACCCAGGCUUGGCUUAUAUUGAGGCGGGUGAAACUCGUGUCAGCACCCGGUCGCUCUCUAUUUGGGUCAGAUAUAAACCGAGUUUAGGUGUAAUUUAUUUUCGUUGACCUUUUACAAUCGUACUGCCACGGGAGUUUAUAUACAGCUGUGUGCGCACUAAGUUACUGACGUUGGACUUUAUUUUAUUCAUUAGGGUUAGUUCAUAGAGUUG